rnacentral:lncRNA from 1 species
GGUGCUGAGGAUUCCAGGGAGAUGGAGGGACAUCAGGGAGCAGACGAGAGGGCACCAAGGGGUGUGGCUCAAGAUCUGACCCCACCCACCCUGCACAUCUGGAAAGCCCACGUUACCGAGGUACCGUCCAGCCUGAGCAAAGGGGGUCGGAGGGGCUCAGACGGAGUCUCAGGAGCGGCUGUUGCGUCGCCCAGGCCAGCUCGCUCAUCCGGGAGGCAUUCGGAUGCUUCAAGGAGCCCGGCUGAGCUGCAGCGGGAGCACUAAGAGGUUUGAGAGGAAUGCCACACCCCCUCUUCAAAGAACUUCACCAAGAAAUAGGUUAUUUGGAAAUGGAACGUUUCACACAGAAGUCGAUACAGUUCCUCAAAGUCCAAGAUCAUUUUUCCACCCAGGAGGGGCACGACCAGCUACCUUCGAUCCAGUGGGAAGUACUUAGGGUUUUAUUAUUAUUAUUAUUAUUGUCUUUCCCUAAGAUCUAGGAUUAUUAUUUGGAGCUUAGUUGGCUAAAAAGGAAAACUGUUAAAAAAAACAAACAAACCCUGGAAUGAGAAGAGGCUAUUCUGUACAUCUACUGCCACUGUCAUUAGAGACUUAACUCAGGUGACCAAGAAAUAAAAGAAGUCCCUCCCUCCCUCAGCAGGAGGAACGUAAAGAGAAGCUGGAAAGAGAGGAUGCAUCAGGGUGGCUGACUACAAUUUUUAAUCCACCUCAUUAAAGACUUGGAAGCGCUGAUUCUAAAAUAGCAACAUCUUCCCGACAAGGAUUCGCCUUGUGCAUCAAUGCAGCCGGGCCCGUGUUUAUUCUGUGAGACAGCCUGAGGCCCUCGCGGCUUAGGUCCCUGCCGUGUGGUACUCACGGCCCCGUGCAGCAGGCCUGGUUAACAAUCCCAAGCCCCGUCAGGCCCUGGGCAGGCCCUGCUGGUGUCCCUGUUGACACCGUCUCUCUUUCUCCCACUGUUCUUCUCAACACUCAACACUGAAGCCAUCGGUGUCAUGGAAAGUCCUUCCUUCUCUCCUCCCGCCUCCAGCGCCUCCCAAACCAUUGCAUCUCUGGCCCCAAGCAUCACUCAGGCCGUGUCCCCACCAGCCUGGUUGAGUGUUUCCAGCUCAGACUGUAAGGAUGCCAUCUCAUAUGUCCCCUUCCUCAGCCUCACUCCCCCUAGGCCACACCCAGGGUAGUUUUAGGAAGUGAUGUCUGAACAGACCAUUUUCUGGCUCAACACUGUUCAACACUCCCUAAAGGACAAAGCCUCAACUGGAGGCUAAAAUUCUUUAAGGAACGGACAUAGGAAUUGGCAAAAAGAAGGGGGAUUGCUAGGUCAAGCCAAAUGCCAACACUUAAAAAAGGUUCCUUUCCUGUAUAUAACACAAAUAGGAUUUAAUUUAAAGUUAAGCUGUAGUACCUGGGGUUCAGACACGUGGCCUCUGAGAAGAAGUAAGGUUUUCUGAUAUGGAAGCAGGACACACAGGUAUGACUGCAGGAAGUGCCAGGGCGCCUGUCGCUGCUUAAGUGUCCUCAUUCCUCCCCCCUCCCCCACACACUCUGUCUGUAACAGCUCAACACAGGGGUUUUCUGAUGUGAAUAAAUAAAUAUGUCACUGA